ensembl:piRNA 21ur-6077 ncRNA
UAGCAGUUCGAGGAAAUAAAA